UACGAAGGGGGCUAGCGUUGUUCGGAAUUACUGGGCGUAAAGCGCACGUAGGCGGAUAUUUAAGUCAGGGGUGAAAUCCCAGAGCUCAACUCUGGAACUGCCUUUGAUACUGGGUAUCUUGAGUAUGGAAGAGGUGAGUGGAAUUCCGAGUGUAGAGGUGAAAUUCGUAGAUAUUCGGAGGAACACCAGUGGCGAAGGCGGCUCACUGGUCCAUUACUGACGCUGAGGUGCGAAAGCGUGGGUAGCAAACAGG
rnacentral:rRNA from 1 species